GUGAAUGUUCUUAAGAAACAUUUUUAAUAUUUCUUUUUUUCCACCAAAAAAGUUCAAAGAUUUCCCAAAAAUGUUGAAAAUGUGGACAUCAGAAGUUUCACUGUGAAAAUAUUUUUUUUCCCCACAUUUUCAAACUUUAAAACGGGUCAUUUUUGACCUGCAGUUUUGACACGAGGGUUAAUAAACAUGCUGUGUUAUUACUAAAAUGCAGAUCUCUGUGUUUUUUGUUUUACUUUAUUCUGAGCGUAGGCCAUGGUGCCGUCAAACGUCCCCUUCUCAGACUGGAGGUCGUCCACGUUCAGCUUCUGUGUGAGCAUACCGCCCGACGACACCGUGACCUGGAGGGAAAAACAGCAGCAAAUGUUUUUAAUAAUGCAAAAUAAAGAUGAACCAUCUCAUUUCUGCUCACCAGCACAUGGAUCUUGUUGUUCUGUGAGAAGCUCUGAGCAAACUCCCAAACCUGUCUGGCACUCGACAUGUCGACGAUGUGGACGUGGACGUUCUGGGAAGAGAAGAAAACAGAAGAAAGUGUAGUUUGACUUUUUACAGCACCAGAUCGUCAUCUGCCCACCGCUGACCUUCUGAUCAGACGUUUCCACUCAGGAACCAAACAACAACGUCCAGAGAAUGAAGUUCAGGUUCCCACAGGAAAACUUCUUUAACAGGUAUAAUAAGAGUUAAAACCCUUCUUCUGAGGCGGACAAACAGAAUAAUAAACUCACCUGGUUUUUACUCUGUUCCACUAUUUCAUUUCUGGCUGCUUCUGCUCGGUCUUUGUUCCUACACACCAUGUGAACGGUUCCUCCUGCAGAAAUGAAAAUACAUCAGAGGCCCAGCCAGGAUUCACUUUUCAUUUUUUCCCUUAACUACUGUAAUAUGGUGUUUAAAACUGCAGUUCAAAGCGUUUUAAAUUCAUAUAUGAAGGAGAGAAUUGAGGCUGAAACAGCUGCCGAAGUUAGAAUGAAAUAGAAAAAUGCAAACACGAAGUGCUUUAACCCUCAUGUCGUCCUGUGGGUCA